rnacentral:rRNA from 1 species
AACGAACGCUGGCGGCAUGCCUAACACAUGCAAGUCGAACGAGACCUUCGGGUCUAGUGGCGCACGGGUGCGUAACGCGUGGGAACCUUCCCUUAUGUUCGGAAUAACUCCCCGAAAGGGGUGCUAAUACCGGAUAAUGUCUUCUGACCAAAGAUUUAUCGCCUUUGGAUGGGCCCGCGUUGGAUUAGCUAGUUGUUAGGGUAAAAGCCUACCACGGCGACGAUCCAUAGCUGGUCUGAGAGGAUGAUCAGCCACACUGGGACUGAGACACGGCCCAGACUCCUACGGGAGGCAGCAGUGGGGAAUAGUGGACAAUGGGCGAAAGGAUGAUCCAGCAAUGACGCGUGAGUGAUGAAGGCCUUAGGGUUGUAAAGCUCUUUUAACCGGGAUGAUAAUGACAGUACCGGGAGAAUAAGCGCCGGCUAACUACGUG